rnacentral:rRNA from 1 species
UAGGGAAUCUUCCACAAUGGGCGCAAGCCUGAUGGAGCAACACCGCGUGAGUGAAGAAGGCNUUCGGCUCGUAAAGCUCUGUUGUUAAAGAAGAACACGUAUGAGAGCAACUGUUCGUACGUUGACGGUAUUUAACCAGAAAGUCCCGGCUAAAUACGUGCCCGCAGCCGCGGUAAUACGUAGGGGGCCAGCGUUAUCCGGAUUUAUUGGGGGUAAAGAGAGGGCCGGCGGUUUUGUAAGUUUGAAAUGAAAGCCUUCGGGUUAACCCGAGAAGGGCAUCGGAAACUGGAUAACUUGAGUGCAGAAGGGGGUAGUGGAAUUCCAUGUGUAGCGGUGGAAUGCGUAGAUAUAUGGAGGAACACCGGUGGCGAAAGCGGCUCUCUGGCUUGUAACUGACGCUGAGGCUCGAAAGCGUGGGGAGCAAACAGGAUUAGAUACCCUGGUAGUCCACGCCGUAAACGAUGAGUGCUAGGUGUUAGGCCCUUUCCGGGGUUUAGUGCCGCAGCUAACGCAUUAAGCACUCCGCCUGGGGAGUACGACCGCAAGGUUG